CGUAGGCAACCUGCCCUUUAGCCUGGGAUAACUACCGGAAACGGUAGCUAAUACCGGAUACUUUCUUUUUCUGCAUGGGAGAAGAACGAAAGACGGAGCAAUCUGUCACUGAAGGAUGGGCCUGCGGCGCAUUAGCUAGUUGGUGGGGUAACGGCUCACCAAGGCGACGAUGCGUAGCCGACCUGAGAGGGUGAUCGGCCACACUGGGACUGAGACACGGCCCAGACUCCUACGGGAGGCAGCAGUAGGGAAUCUUCCGCAAUGGGCGAAAGCCUGACGGAGCAACGCCGCGUGAGUGAUGAAGGUUUUCGGAUCGUAAAGCUCUGUUGCCAGGGAAGAACGUCUUGGAGAGUAACUGCUCCGAGAGUGACGGUACCUGAGAAGAAAGCCCCGGCUAACUACGUGCCAGCAGCCGCGGUAAUACGUAGGGGGCAAGCGUUGUCCGGAAUUAUUGGGCGUAAAGCGCGCGCAGGCGGCCGUUUAAGUCCGGUGUUUAAUCCCGAAGCUCAACUUCGGGUCGCACUGGAAACUGGAGGGCUUGAGUGCAGAAGAGGAGAGUGGAAUUCCACGUGUAGCGGUGAAAUGCGUAGAGAUGUGGAGGAACACCAGUGGCGAAGGCGACUCUCUGGGCUGUAACUGACGCUGAG
rnacentral:rRNA from 1 species